UUGUGUACUGUGUUCAGAGAGUGGAGGGUGCAACUACUCUCUGUGCAAGCUGAGAGGUCCAAGCAAGAGCAGCUGAGCCGUGAGUUUCAGAACACAAUGCUGCUUAGACAGAGUUUUCAACACUGGAGAAUUAAACUCGCAGUCCAGCACAUGCAGCUAAGAAGACACCAGAGAAUAACCAGGAUGGCAGCUCAUCACUGGCUCCAGAUUGUACAGCAGAGGAAACUUGAGGAUCUACGCUUGAGGGCAAACCAGCUGCAGAAUAGGAUGAGACUAGCAGCUGCUUUUAGGACCUGGUGUGAACUAAAGGCUGCUGCAGAGACUGAGCAAGCAAGAGAAGGGGAAGGGCGCCAUCUACUGGGCAAGAAAAAGAUGCAGGUUGUAUUUACAACCUGGCGCCUGUGCUGUCAGGAAAGACGGAGAAUACAGCCAC